rnacentral:tRNA from 1 species
GCCCGGAUGGUGAAAUUGGUAGACACAAGGGACUUAAAAUCCCUCGGCGCAAGCCGUGCCGGUUCGAUUCCGGCUCCGGGCACCA